CAAGCAAGGCAGAGCAUGAAAUGUUGGAAGCCUGAGCAGAAACUAGAUUAUUAUCCUUUGCCUGUGUACAAGCUUUGUGGGACAAGAGUAAUUUCACUUAAGCAUAGCAUUGUUGACUCAGAGUAAGUUAAAAGUUAAAAUCUGACACUAAUGUUUGGAUAUCAUGGAUAGGAGUUGAGGACCUGGAAGACCUGAGCUACCUGCAGGAGAGUGACUUCCUUUCUUUCCUGAGACCAAUUGAAGCCAGGAAACUUCUGUCACUGCUCAAAAAGUCAAGCCAACAAGAUGUCUUGGACAGUCCUCCAAGCAACCAGAGCAACCAACAGUUCAGAAGAGCCAGUACCAGUACAAGUACAAGUCCAGUAACACAGUCUGACGAGAUGCACCUUUCUGGUGCCUCUUCAAGAUAAAUCCGGACAAGGGAUCAAAAGUGGAGCGGAACGCCACCAAAAGAAAACUUGCAGUCAGUCCAAAGGUUCUC